rnacentral:misc_RNA from 1 species
GUGUGAAGCUGAAGAUUCUCAAGAUGAAGACAAAGUCGCAUAAGAAGUCUGAAGCUAAGACACAUCACUGAGUUGCGGAUCUGCUGGUCUUGGGUUGAAAUAAAAAGUUUGAGUAUUUUGAAUCGUUCCUAUCAUUUUAAUCCUUUGCAAAGAUGGUGCUUGAUUCAGAGUAUUGUGAACAUUUUGAAUUUUGUUUCAUCUUCAGAAUCAUUAGAAUGGU